rnacentral:rRNA from 1 species
AAACGAUUGAAGUCAGACGUGCGUGAUGCGGUUCAGCUCUGGUUCGCCAGGGUGUAUUCCGUAUCUUUGCAGGCCAACAUCGGUUUUGUUAGUCGGAUAAAGAUUAGUUGAAUGUGGCAUCUUCGGGUGUGUUAUAGCU